UACGGGGGGAGCAAGCGUUGUUCGGAUUUACUGGGCGUAAAGGGCGCGUAGGCGGCCACCGCAAGUCGGUUGUGAAAUCUCUGGGCUUAACCCAGAAAGGUCAACCGAUACUGCGGGGCUAGAGUGCAGAAGGGGCAACUGGAAUUCUCGGUGUAGCGGUGAAAUGCGUAGAUAUCGAGAGGAACACCUGCGGCGAAGGCGGGUAGCUGGGCCGACACUGACGCUGAGGCGCGAAAGCCAGGGGAGCGAACGGG
rnacentral:rRNA from 1 species